CGGUCCAAGCCGAAUCAUUUAGAAUUGGGUAUGCAGUUUUGACUGGUUCCCCUCUCUCCUCUUAAAUCUUAUAUCGAAUAUAAUUAAUUAAAAAUAUUUCCUCCUUCUCUUCCCCUCCGUCACCUCCAUCAAUCCGAACCAAACAGACGGUUAAUGGGCAAUAACCAAUUCCCUAAUAAAAAACCAGAGAUAUGACUAAAGUCACAUGCACAAUCCACUUCAUUUUCAAGAGGCCCGUCAACUCAGCGCUGUUACUUUCGCCAGAAAUCGUCGGAAUCGCACUCAACUCAUCUUCCCGGUAAACUCAACCGGCCUCGGUCAUGAGCAGCCAGAAACGGUAACCAAACUCUUCACAGGUUUUCCUUCCCCAUUCCUCACCUGUAUCGGGCGCAAGAAUUAGAACAUUGAUAUAUUAUUACAGUCGGAAUCACUACUGUGUGACCAAUGGAUCAUGGAUAUUCCUCUUGUUGAAUCACUCUCUUGCAAGAGGGCAUUCAUCCAUGAUUUAUCUAGAGCUUGACAUGUGGAAAGCUAAAUAGGAUGUCGUUUGGAAGAGGAAGAUGUUGAGGGAUUUAACUUUACUGUACAAGGGCCGAUUAUAACUCUUUCCUUCUCUGGGAGGAAGUAAAAGGAGAUUGCACCUUCAAUGCAUGAAAAUGCUGCUUUUGUGAGUAUAUCAAUUACUUGUUUACUGAAUUACACUGUUCACCUUUUAUGAUAAUGGACAUCUAGGUAAUAUAUGAUUGGUGGUCUUUCAAGUUGUAACUGAAUGCAAAGUCUUUAUUGAACAACUGCUGUUGCGGAAAAAACAAUUUUGAAGCGUAGAGAUAGUGAAUACUGAUAAAGUACAUGCACAUGCAUAAUGCACAUGCAUAACAAACCCUGAAGUUCAAAUUUCAGUUAUUGUUUUUUCAUUCAACAGUUACAACUCCUUUUUUUUUCAAUUCAGAAAAGUGCUUUUUAAGAAUAGAUGUUAUUUCAGCCCUGAAAACUAUAUGAAAAUAAUAUGAACUAACCUUGGGCAAAUCCAGUCUCCACUUUUCCAUCCUGGUGGAGAACUGCAAUCAGAUCCAUAUCCUCCAGAACCGGCCAUGUUACCCCCAUAUCCAGAAGAAUAAUCAUCUUUAAAUGAACCACAUCUAUAGCAGUUGGAUCUGCUUGCAUAGUUGUGAGCUCCGCAGUUCAUAGCGGUGCAAAACCAGUCCCCUGCCAACGUUUCAGUCCUGUUAUAUCUAUAGGUUGAUGGGUCAGGGCCUCCAUACUUGGGGUACCCACAACUUUGGCAUGCUUCCCUCUUCUUGAAAUUUAUGUGCUCGCAAGCACCACACAUCCAAUCUCCUCCAGACCAGCUCAUUUUCCUGUC